GCUACAGGGUAGGAGCGAUGGGAGGGGAGCAAGAGGACCUGGAAACGGAAUCAUCGCGAGAAUUGAGUUAAUAUGCUCCUCCAAUCAGCAGUACGGGGAGGGGGUGAUGUCAUCUGGGAGCCGAUGGUGAUGAGUUUGGUCAGACUCUGCUUUGAAUCGUACGAUCGGUACCUCACCUCCCGCGCGGGGACGAGCCCUACCGGCCUCCUUGCCCUUGGGGCGGCUGAGACUGUGCCUUCCACGCCCCUCAGUGCCUGGGAAACAUCAGUGCUUCAACUCGGACGUUCUCUUCUCCCACGCAGCUUCCUUAGCGCAGAGAAGGGGCGAAAACUGCUUCUGGGCUGCUGGAACCAGAAGCGUAAAGACUUUAGAACUUGUGAGAUGGGGUAGGAAAUGGGGCAGACAGCCAUCCGAAGCCACAGUGAGAAUUUUGACCUGGAUGAGAAGUACUGAAGUGAACUAACGUAUGCCACGGUGCAUGUCUUUAUUCAGCUACCAGUCAAUGAAUGCUGUUGUCGGAGCAUUACCAGGCGCUAUCCUUGAAAGUUUUCCUAUUUAGGAUACGUAUUUUACGCUGAUAAUCAAAUUAUGGGUGGUUCGGCCCUUUAAAAAGACGUAAAAUAAGUGGGUGCCAGCCUCUACGCUAGCAGCUGGGACAGAGUUGUGAUAGAGAUAUAACAGCCAUUGUUUAAAAAAAAAAAAAAAGAAGAAGAAGAAGAAGAAGAAAAAAUAACAGGUCCAAAGUGGAGCGCUAGACCCCAGGACAGCACACCAAGACUUAAUCGCAGUUUCACCCUCUCUCAAGAACAGAAUUCCCGGAAUUUCUCGAUCUGCACGAGCGAGGUAACCUUACCUGAAACAAUCCUUUCUUUUUCUUUACUCAUAAACUCCUUUCUCCGCCCUCAUUUCUAUGAAACCUUUCUAUUUUGUACCACUGAAUGGGUGCCUUUCUAAUUCUGGGAUGGGAUGUGGCCUGAUUCAUGAAACAUUGAAUAAAGCCAACUUCAAGUUUA